rnacentral:lncRNA from 1 species
AAUUGCUAUAUAAAAAGCUAUUAAUUACAGAGUUAACAUCCCAUGAUGUUAUAUAGUUUCAAUAUUUGCUCAACACCUUAACAAAAAAACUUAGCUAACAUCCUAAGCUAGAUUAUGAUAUCAUGUUUUACAUAACAUUCCUAGCAAAAUAAUAAUAAGGUUGUGUUCCUUCUAAACUUUCAUCUUGACUUGUAGCUUCAAUCUUCAAAACCUGUAAGUAAAAAUUUUGAAAAGACGAUGAAUAACUAUUGAUGAAAUAAUAUAUGUAAAUUUACACUAGCAAUGGUUAAAUUGCUUACCCCAAAAGCAGUGUAAAUUCAUCAGGUGUUAUCCAACAACAACAUCAAAAGUGCUACAAGAAUAUAAGGAAAUUAAUUAGAAAAGUUUUGGAACAGUAAAUCAAACUUCGAUUCGAUAAAAGAAUCGAAUCGGGGAUUUGUACAAUGUUAGUAAGUCCCUUUUCUCCUAGACUUACUAUUCUUAAAACCUGUAGACUUCAUUUCAGUAUGUUUGAUUUAUCAAUUUUUCAAACAAGAAAAAUUAAAUCUUUCUUUACAAAAUAAGUAAUUUAGACGUCAAUUAUUAAUGAUUUGAAACCAAAAAUUAGCUUUCAAAGGUGCCUGUUCGAAAGUGAAAAUUAAUUUUUGAGGACACAAGAUUCACCAGGGUAAGACACAAAAGAACAUUAUUAGAACUUUCUCAACAUGCAGUUUCAUGUUGUAAAAACGCAUAUUAUCUUGUAUACUUUUUUUUCCUUUUAAUGAUAAGCUAGUCUUACAUCCUAUUUGACAUCCUAAAGUAUACAUUCUCAGGUAUCUGCAUAAGGUCUUAUACAUUUUGAAACAUAUUCUAUCCCUAUGUCUCUCUGAUGUACUAUGAAGCAAAAUCAGUUAGUUUUCGUGCAUCAGAAAUAGGAUAACGAACAAACUGUCGAUGCUGAUUAAAAACCAUUGGUAGACAACAAUUCAGAUUUGAGAAUGAAACGGAACUGUAUCUGAAUAUGACAAAGAAAAUGACAAUGCUAAUCGAACACCAACGACAGACAACAAUCAAGAUUGGCGAACGAGAGUAAGUGAAUCAGAAACCCAUGCAUUAUCCUCAAAAAAUUCAACACUGAUCUUAUUUUCAAUACACGUGAUUAAUAAUGUGGUUAUGAGCAUCCACAUAUUUGUCAGAUAUUAUUACCUGGACUUACUAUUGUUAAAACCUGUAGCCUAAUUCCUUAUCAUAUAUUUCUCCUUUAUUAGUCAAUAACUUGAUUAUAGUUUCCACAACUGCUUGUAAUUGAUUAUAGCCUAAUGCAUUUGAUGAACUUAACAGCAGUUAAGGUUGAGGCCUCAAUAAUGUCGGGACGAGUAACCCUCAAUGCUCAGAUUUUCUACUUCCAACUUCGUGAACCCAAACUGUUAUUCCCAUCAUUGAGGCUCAUUCAUUUAUAAUAUUGCAACAAAUAUAGCAAUAAGAUAGAAAUGGCUAUAUAAAUAUCAACAAAAAGAAUUAAAAAGCAGGGCAUACUGUUACUAACUUGAUCAGCCGAAAAAAGUCAUCAUUCAGCUUAGCGAUGUCGUAGGCGAGACAUGUGAUUGUUGAGCAGCGAAAAAUUUCCUUAUUUUCUUCAUUUCUUUCAUCUCAAGAUAUGAUCACGAUGAUCAUUCAUGUCAACACUCUCAAAUUUAUCCUACAAUAAUCAAAAUAUCCAUUUAGUUAAUGCACUGUUCAAGAAGCAGUUCAUUGUGCAAGUUUAAGAAGAAGUUCAUUCAUAGUCUCAAAAUUUAUUUUAGUAUCAUCACCAAAUCGGUAAACUGACAUAGGAGUUUCAUCUCGAAAGGACUAACAUAGUUAUCCAAAGAGCACACCGUUCCCUGGUGCAUGCGCCCACAUUUGGCAUCUCUGUCCCUAUCACUAACUGGAGCAUAACUUCACACGCCACAUGUACGGAGG